rnacentral:rRNA from 1 species
ACGUCGGUUGGUUAGUAGCAUGGCAGACGGGUGAGGAGCACGUACCUGACCUGACACACGGAGGGGGAUAGUCCCCCGAAAGGGGGUUGAAUACCGCGUACGCUCGUCAAGGCAGCUUGAUGAGGAGAGGUGGCCUCUGCAUGCACGCUAUCGCCGUGUGAGGGGGGUGCGUCCUAUUAGCUGGCUGGUGGGGUAAUGGCCUACCAGGGCGACGAUGGGUCGCUGGUCUGAGAGGAUGAUCAGCCACACUGGGACUGAGACACGGCCCAGACUCCUACGGGAGGCAGCAGUGGGGAAUUUUGCGCAAUGGGGGGAACCCUGACGCAGCAACGCCGUGUGAGUGACGACGCCGUUCGCGGUGUAAAGCUCUGUGAGGCGGGACGAAGGCUCCGGGUGAAGAACCUGCGAGGGUGACGGUACCGCCACAGCAAGCCCCGGCUAACUCCGUGCCAGCAGCCGCGGUAAGACGGAGGGGGCGAGCGUUGUUCGGAAUUACUGGGCGUAAAGCGCCCGCAGGCGGUGACGUGAGUGUUUCGUGAAAGCCCCCGGCUCAACCGGGGACGGGCGAAGCAGACUGCGUGACUUGAGUGCUGGAGGGGGAGGCGGAAUUCCUGGUGGAGCGGUGAAAUGCGUAGAGAUCAGGAAGAACGUCAGUGGCGAAGGCGGCCUCCUGGACAGACACUGACGCUGAGGGGCGAGAGCGUGGGGAGCGAACGGGAUUAGAUACCCCGGUAGUCCACGCCGUAAACGCUGGGCACUAGGUGUGGGGGUGGAGAUCACUUCCGUGCCGGAGCUAACGCAGUAAGUGCCCCGCCUGGGGAGUACGGUCGCAAGGCUGAAACUCCAAGGAAUUGACCGGGGCCCCGCCCAAGCGGUGGAGCAUGUGGGUUUAUUCGACGCAACGCGCAGAACCUUUCCUGGGUUUGACUUGGCACUUGCGAUGCCCUGGCGAGGGGCAGUUCCUUCGGGACGGUGUCACAGGUGCUGCAUGUCUGUCGUCAGCUCGUGUCGUGAGAUGUUGGGUUAAGUCCCGCAACGAGCGCAACCCUUGCCCUUCGUUACCAGCAGGUGAGGCUGGGGACUCGAGGGGGACUGCCGGUGUCAAGCCGGAGGAAGGUGGGGAUGACGUCAAGUCCUCAUGGCCCUGACGCCCAGGGCUACACACGUGCUACAAUGGAGCGGACAACGGGGAGCGACCCUGCGAGGGGGAGCCAAUCCCUGAAACCGGUUCUGAGUGCGGAUUGGGGUCUGCAACUCGACUCCAUGAAGGUGGAAUCGCUAGUAAUCGCGGAUCAGCAUGCCGCGGUGA